ensembl:snoRNA SNORA70 Small nucleolar RNA SNORA70
UUGCAGCCGAUUAAGUCAACUAUGUUCUUUUCCCGAGAGGGGCCCAGUGUACAAUGGCUGCAAAUAGCAGCCUCCACAGCAGUGUACACAGCCUGUUGCCUGCAGAGGCUGCCCUAAGGGAACUUGGAGACAACC